rnacentral:lncRNA from 1 species
UAGACAGUCCAUAUUAUUACAUCAAAAGAAAUAAAGAGGUUGUUUCUGAUAGAUCAUCCGCUAUCAAAAUAAUAUGAUAUAACGCUAAAACAAAUAAGUGCAAACAUUGACGACAAGCUAAGAGUCUUCAUAUGAUUUACGCGUUAAAAUUCCUUAAUCCAACAUAUUUUAUCAGUCUUGUAAAUUGUAAUAAAGAGAUUUUACAUGCAAGUAUAAUUAAUGUUCUUAAAUU